rnacentral:rRNA from 1 species
CAUGCAUGUCUAAGUAUAAGCAACCUAUACUGUGAAACUGCGAAUGGCUCAUUAAAUCAGUUAUCGUUUAUUUGAUAGUACCUUACUACAUGGAUAACCGUGGUAAUUCUAGAGCUAAUACAUGCUAAAAACCCCGACUUCGGAAGGGGUGUAUUUAUUAGAUAAAAAACCAAUGCCCUUCGGGGCUCCUUGGUGAUUCAUGAUAACUCAACGAAUCGCAUGGCCUUGCGCCGGCGAUGGUUCAUUCAAAUUUCUGCCCUAUCAACUUUCGAUGGUAGGAUAGUGGCCUACCAUGGUAUCAACGGGUAACGGGGAAUUAGGGUUCUAUUCCGGAGAGGGAGCCUGAGAAACGGCUACCACAUCCAAGGAAGGCAGCAGGCGCGCAAAUUACCCAAUCCCGACACGGGGAGGUAGUGACAAUAAAUACUGAUACGGGGCUCUUUUGGGUCUCGUAAUUGGAAUGAGUACAAUUUAAAUCCCUUAACGAGGAACAAUUGGAGGGCAAGUCUGGUGCCAGCAGCCGCGGUAAUUCCAGCUCCAAUAGCGUAUAUUAAAGUUGUUGCAGUUAAAAAGCUCGUAGUUGAACCUUGGGCCUGGCUGGCCGGUCCGCCUCACCGCGUGUACUGGUCCGGCCGGGCCUUUCCUUCUGGGGAAUCGCAUGCCCUUCACUGGGUGUGUCGGGGAACCAGGACUUUUACUUUGAAAAAAUUAGAGUGUUCAAAGCAGGCCUUUGCUCGAAUACAUUAGCAUGGAAUAAUAGAAUAGGACGUGCGGUUCUAUUUUGUUGGUUUCUAGGACCGCCGUAAUGAUUAAUAGGGAUAGUCGGGGGCAUCAGUAUUCAAUUGUCAGAGGUGAAAUUCUUGGAUUUAUUGAAGACUAACUACUGCGAAAGCAUUUGCCAAGGAUGUUUUCAUUAAUCAGUGAACGAAAGUUAGGGGAUCGAAGACGAUCAGAUACCGUCGUAGUCUUAACCAUAAACUAUGCCGACUAGGGAUCGGGCGAUGUUAUCAUUUUGACUCGCUCGGCACCUUACGAGAAAUCAAAGUCUUUGGGUUCUGGGGGGAG